CGUUAACGCUGGCGGUAGGCCUAACACAUGCAAGUCGAACGGCAGCACAGUAAGAGCUUGCUCUUACGGGUGGCGAGUGGCGGACGGGUGAGGAAUACAUCGGAAUCUACUUUUUCGUGGGGGAUAACGUAGGGAAACUUACGCUAAUACCGCAUACGACCUACGGGUGAAAGCAGGGGAUCUUCGGACCUUGCGCGAUUGAAUGAGCCGAUGUCGGAUUAGCUAGUUGGCGGGGUAAAGGCCCACCAAGGCGACGAUCCGUAGCUGGUCUGAGAGGAUGAUCAGCCACACUGGAACUGAGACACGGUCCAGACUCCUACGGGAGGCAGCAGUAGGGAAUAUUGGACAAUGGGCGCAAGCCUGAUCCAGCCAUACCGCGUGGGUGAAGAAGGCCUUCGGGUUGUAAAGCCCUUUUGUUGGGAAAGAAAAGCAGCAGGUUAAUACCCCGCUGUUCUGACGGUACCCAAAGAAUAAGCACCGGCUAACUUCGUG
rnacentral:rRNA from 1 species